rnacentral:lncRNA from 1 species
AUUUGGGUGUAGUCCUUUGAAGAAUUAGCUUCAAAUUCAUUCCCAUCUUGAAGGCACAAAUUCUGCAGGCAUAGCUGUUGUCUUGUCUUGUAGCGUGGACAAAACAGAGUAGUGGAGGUAGUGGUUGUACACUUGUACUUUGUCAACUCUGUUAACGAAGGACAAAUACUCAGUGCUAUCCAAAAUGACCGUUGAUACCUCCCU